AAUCAACGCUGGCGGCGUGCCUCAGACAUGCAAGUCGAACGCGAAAGUCCCCUUCGGGGGACAAGUAGAGUGGCGCACGGGUGAGUAACACGUAGGUAAUCUACCUUCGGGUGGGGAAUAACAACCGGAAACGGUUGCUAAUACCGCAUAAUGCAGCGGCACCUAAUGGUGACAGUUGUUAAAGCGGGGGAUCGCAAGAUCUCGCGCCUGAAGAGGAGCCUGCGGCGGAUUAGCUUGUUGGUAGGGUAACGGCCUACCAAGGCGACGAUCCGUAGCCGGCCUGAGAGGGCGGUCGGCCACACUGACACUGACACACGGGUCAGACUCCUACGGGAGGCAGCAGUCGGGAAUUUUGGGCAAUGGGCGAAAGCCUGACCCAGCAACGCCGCGUGAAGGAUGAAAUCCCUCGGGAU
rnacentral:rRNA from 1 species